rnacentral:lncRNA from 12 species
AAUGUGAACAUCAAGAUAUGCGGCAUUCCUACAGAAUCUCACAAUCAACAAAGAAGCUACGUGAUGGAGCAGUAAUAAAACUGAGCUAAUCUUCAUGAACAAUCUAUAAGAAAGCAGCAUAGAGGUUCUCCUCUGGACAGUUUCUGUAUAUACAACUCAGUGAAUAUGCUACCACUUGAAUUUCGGAGACAAAUUUAAGUGAUUCCUACCUUGAGAAUCUUUAUGAGGCUCUGACAUUCUUCAGACAUUAGACCUUCUUCUAUUGGUAAUUGUAUUUUGAAGUAA